rnacentral:lncRNA from 12 species
AUGGCUGUGCGGGGCCAGGCACGGGCGGGAGGGCAGCUUCCUGGGGGACAGCAGUCUGCGCCCCCGGGAAGUGAGGCACCGGAUGCCUGGGGCCCUGAUACCAAGGGGCCGUGGCGAGGGCAGGCCGGGUGCUGGGCGGGCGGGGGGCGGCCUGGGGGGCACCAUGCAGGGGCCGAAGCUGAACGGCCCAGGAGUGAGACCCAGGCCCUAGGGGACAGCGGACCCGCUCGCAGGGUGGGGACUUCCUGGCAUCCAGGAGGAUCCCCAGGGCACCCCUGGGCCUCUCCCUGCUGGGGAAGAGCUGUGAGGGCAGGGCCUUGGGGUCCUGCCCGGGCACACCUUUCUUCUAUCCCCUUUGAGACCCCCACCUUGUUUCGAGUGACACGCAAUCCUUUUCCUUGAGCGUCCCUGACAGCUGUGUGGGAGUAGCCCACGUGGCCACGUGGUGUUUGCUGCUCAGCAGGUGCAGAGCCAGAGCGAUGGAGGGCGCGGAGGGGCCGCUCUGGGGGGCAGGCACCCUGUGUGGGCUCCCGGGGCGUCCCGCCCCUCCGGCCUAUUCCCGUCUGUUGCUCACAGCAUCUCUCCCCACUGGAUACCUACUUGGCCCCGCCUUUCGGACGGCUUCGGGUUCAAGCCUCUCCCAGACCCCGUGACCUCCAGCUCCCGAGGCCAAGGCACCAGGGUGGCACACCUCCCCUCUCUCUGGGGGGCACCUGCUGCCCUCUGUAAGGAGGAGGGCUCCAGGUGCUCCCCCAGGAGGAGGGCUCUAGGUGCUCCCCCAGGAGAAGCCUGCCCGUUCUGCCUACUAAGUUCCAGUGCUCGCUGGGUGCUUGGACACCUCACUUCGUCUGCACAAACCCCCGUAUCACAGCUUCGAGUUCAGAGGGGACAUGCUUGCCCAAGGCCACCGAGGGGCACCUCCAGCAGUCUGGGCCUCAGGGGACUGAGCGUCACGGGGGCUGAGCAGCAAGCUCCCCGGCCCCUCCGGCCCCAGGCAGCGGCCUCCUGAAGCGCUGCUUCCGGGACCACGGCAGUCCUUGCUGCUCUUCUGGCCUCCUGAGCCCUCCGUCACCAAGUCCCAUUGGGUCCCGCCACUCGAUUGCUUGCGGCAGUUUUCUCCUGCAGGAGCUGGAUUGAGUGUUGGGGGCGCUUUACACAGAGGCCACGUGGGGCCUCAGAGGAAGGAAGAGCAAGAGGCUCCAGGCCACUGGGGAGAGGGCAGGACGGGGAUGGCAUGGAAGGUCCCUGCAGGUGGGUGCGCCUGGGGCAGAGGCUGUGCCCAUCCUUGCCUCAAAUGGCUUGGACGGGGACAGGACUCCUGAGCGCUGCUGCUGGGCCAGCCUGCGACUGCCACCCACUCCGCAGACCCCACUCCCAGCUGCGGGUGAGCAUGGGACCAAGG